rnacentral:rRNA from 1 species
AGUGAACGCUGGCGGUAGGCCUAACACAUGCAAGUCGAACGGCAGCACAGUAAGAGCUUGCUCUUACGGGUGGCGAGUGGCGGACGGGUGAGGAAUACAUCGGAAUCUACUUUUUCGUGGGGGAUAACGUAGGGAAACUUACGCUAAUACCGCAUACGACCUACGGGUGAAAGCAGGGGAACUUCGGACCUUGCGCGAUUGAACGAGCCGAUGUCGGAUUAGCUAGUUGGCGGGGUAAAGGCCCACCAAGGCGACGAUCCGUAGCUGGUCUGAGAGGAUGAUCAGCCACACUGGAACUGAGACACGGUCCAGACUCCUACGGGAGGCAGCAGUGGGGAAUAUUGGACAAUGGGCGCAAGCCUGAUCCAGCCAUACCGCGUGGGUGAAGAAGGCCUUCGGGUUGUAAAGCCCUUUUGUUGGGAAAGAAAAGCAGCAGGUUAAUACCCCGCUGUUCUGACGGUACCCAAAGAAUAAGCACCGGCUAACUUCGUG